rnacentral:rRNA from 1 species
UCUAAGCAUAGCUGGUAACAGUGAAGCCGCGAAUAGCUCAUUACAACAGCCGUUGUUUCUUGGAUCUACUCUCUACUUGGAUAACUGUGGUAAUUCUAGAGCUAAUACAUGCAACAAGACCCGACGCAAGGACGGUCGCAUUUAUUAGAACAAAACCAUCCGGUCUUUGACCGUUCUUUGGUGACUCUGAAUAACUGAGCAAAUCACAUGGUCUCGCACCGGUGAUGUAUCUUUCAAGUGUCUGCCUUAUCAACUUUCGAUGGUAGUCUAUGUGCCUACCAUGGUUGUAACGGGUAACGGAGAAUCAGGGUUUGACUCCGGAGAGGGAGCCUGAGACACGGCUACCACUUCUAAGGAAGGCAGCAGGCGCGCAAAUUACCCAUUCUCCGUACGAGGAGGUAGUGACGAAAAAUACCAAGCUGAGGCUCAUUGAGUUUCAGCAUUGGAAUGAGAACAAUCCAAA